CUGUUGGAAUACAGCGUCAUAGUGGUGAGAACCCCGUAACUGAUGCAGAUGCCCGGUGCUUUGUGAUAUACUUUCGAAGAGUCGAGUUGUUUGGGAAUGCAGCUCAAAUUGGGUGGUAAAUUCCAUCUAAAGCUAAAUAUUGGAGCAAGACCGAUAGCGAACAAGUACCGUGAGGGAAAGAUGAAAAGCACUUUGGAAAGAGAGUUAACAGUACGUGAAAUUGUUGGAAGGGAAACGCUUGAAGUCAGACUUGCUAUUCGGAGUUCAGCCGCAAGGUGUAUUCUUCGAUUUGCAGGCCAGCAUCAGUUUUCGGGGGUGGAAAAUCGUGGUUUGAAGGUAGCAACUUCGGUUGUGUUAUAGCUUUCCACUGGAUUCAUCUUUGGGGACUGAGGAACGCAGUACGCUUUUUGCAAGGCCCUCGGGCUUUUCGUACUUAGGAUGCUGGUGGAAUGGCUUUAAACGACCCGUCUUG
rnacentral:rRNA from 1 species